UUCACGACCUGGCGAGGGCUGACCCCUGGUGGCCGCACGGCGCCUUGCAGCUGCAGCCUGCUCGACCCAAGCAGAGCUCUGCCGGGAGCAGGUGGUUGUGGGGAAGGAAACUAGGGAGUGAGCCAGGUUCAGAGCCACGUGAUGACUUUCUACGCUAUCGGCUAGACCACAAGAGACAACCUCAUCUCACCCGUCUUAGGCCUGAGGAGACUCACCUGCUGGCUCCUCCUUCACAACUACAGAGGCCAGUCAGUUGGGAGAUGGUCUCCCCACCAUCCUCUGAUCACAGAUCCACUAGUUGCUUCCAGAAAUCAGGCUACACCCCCACUGCUCAAUCGCAUAGAAAUCUAGUAACCUGUGUGCCAUGGACUUGCAGCUGCUGGAGAGGCAGAGAACCACACAGCUGAAUGCCUCGGUGGUCCCAAAUGGUGCUGAAGGCCUGGAAGGUCCUUAGGACAUUGCUGACAUUCAGCUGCAAUGGAGGGCGGAGACCCCGGGACCUAAUGUCGAAAGAAGAUGGCGGCAGCCAUAGACCUGUCACUCAGGAAGAAGCAAAGGCAGCAGGCCACUCUGCUCCAACCUCUCUGAAUCUGGGCUGCCAGCUGGAAGGAGCCGCCCACUUGGGGGGGCAGGUCAUCUUCUCUCAGUUCAUCCUUGCUACAAGCCGCAAAAAUAUACAGAGUAGGAGUUUAGCUGAUUAUGACGAAGCUAAUACCUGAAAGAAGCCAAGGGCCUUCCAGAGGUCACGCUGAGGCUCACGGAGCCUUGGUGAUAUUUGGUUUUUGAUUAUGAGCUGUUUUCUGCUAUGGGUUUCUCGUGUGCUCUUGUAGCUUUACCAUCAUUUUUUGGACACCAUUUCCCCUCUACUAAAGGAAUAUUUAGAUAACCUUGUGCGCUGACACUGUGCAUAGCCAGAACCCCACCAAUUCAAGCCUCCCUGUAAUUAUCAUCAUUGGCAGCAUCCGGCCAGGUCCAUCCGGAGGAAAGUACCUUAUCAGAGAUACCUCUGUAGCCUCUAGAACAGACUUAAGCAUUCAGACUACCUGUUUGAGAAGGCCUGGCAGAUGUGCCAAUUAAGCUUAACUUCCUCCUUUCCCAAAUCUUUCCUCUAGUUCCAGAUCUCCCUUUAACUAUCACCAGAGGCAUCUAGCUGUACACAGGUUGCCUAGCGACCGAGCACCCUUCCCCCCACCCUGCAGAAAAACAGCAGAUAGCUUGGACAGAUAGGAGCCACAGGAAAAAAGAAGGCACUUGUAUUUUCUCCCAGUGACCUAGCAACUUACAGAUUCUUAACAUUUUCUACCAAUCACGUUUAAGAUAAUAGUUGAGCACAUAAGAACCCUCUUCUUAGAUAUUACCUGAAUUUAGCCUUUAGUUAAUUCAUUAGUCACUUCCCUUUUGGGUUGCAAAUGAUUAUUAACAAUUACUGCCCCUCUAUGUGAAUCUUAUCACCCCUCCGUUUGACCCUGGAAGCCUGGCUUUGCACUGCCAAGGGAUGACUGCUUGUAAGUGUAUAUAAACCGGGACUCCCAGGGUACGGAAGGAUGAAGAGGAAGAUUUAGAAGAAUAAAUGACUCGACUAAGAGCUCAGUGUGCUGAGAUUCUAUUUCCCAAAAAUAGUCCUCGCCGUUAGUAGUUCUCUCUCCUGAGCCCCUGGGAUGUAUAAUAUUAAGGCUGGUCCCCCUAAUACCAUGCAAGACAUCCUUUCUGACCAUGCCCUCACAGGCAUGCCCUGAGGUGAUUCUCAAUUCCACAGAGCUGACAGGUGAGCACAAUCAUCAGAGCUGGUGAGGGGUAAAGCUGGUCUCCAAAGGUCCAACUUUUUUUUCUUCUCUUCAUGGUA